rnacentral:rRNA from 1 species
CGGCGUGCCUAAUACAUAGCAAGUCGAGCGAGAAAUCUUCUAGACGAUCUCGGAUGAGUCAGGAAGAUGGAAGCGGCGGACGGGUGAGUAACGCGUAGGCAACCUGCCCUCAGCAGAGGGAUAGCCAUUGGAAACGAUGAUUAAAACCUCAUAAUGCUGCAGUAACACAUGUUACAGCAGCCAAAGAUUUAUCGGCUGGGGAUGGGCCUGCGUCUGAUUAACUGGUUGGUGAGGUAACGGCUCACCCAAGGUAACGAUCAGUAGCCGACCUGAGAGGGUGAUCGGCCACAUUGGAACUGAGACACGGUCCAAACUUCUACGGAAGGCAGCAGUAAGGAAUCUUGCACAAUGGGGGAAACCCUGAUGCAGCAACGCCGCGUGAACGAUGAAGGCCUUAGGGUUGUAAAGUUCUGAUCUGUGGGAAGAAGAAAGUGACGGUACCACAGGAGAAAGCCCCGGCUAAAUACGUGCCAGCAGCCGC